GCGGGUGUAGCUCAGUUGGUAGAGCAUUUGCUUCCCAAGCAAAAUGUCGACGGUUCGAGCCCGUUCACCCGCU
rnacentral:tRNA from 2 species